AUGCUCAGUUCUAAACCCGUACAACCUAGUGCUCCCAUGGAACCCAGUUUCUCAUUCCCUUCUAGUGCUCUCAUGGAACCCAGUUUCUCAUUCCCUUCUAGUGCUCCCAUAGAACCCAGUUCCUCCCUACCCACUGAAAAACCCAAUUCUAAAGCCGAACAACCUCGUGCUCCCAUGGAACCCAGUUUCUCAUUCCCUACUAGUGCUUCCAUGGAACCCAGUACUUUCCUCCCCACUGAAGAACCCAGUUCUAAACCAGAACAACCUAGUGCUCCCAUGGAACCCAGUUCCUCGCUACCCACUGAAAAACCCAGUUCUAAACCCGAACAUCCUAGUGCUCCCAUGGAGCCCAGUUUCUCAUUCCCUACUAGUGCUCCCAUAGAACCCAGUUCCUCCCUCCCCACUGAAAAACCCAAUUCUAAACCCGAACAACCUAGUGCUCCCAUGAAGCCCAGUUCCUCCCUACCCACUGAAAAACCCAAUUCUAAAGCCGAACAACCUCGUGCUCCCAUGGAACCCAGUCCCUCCCUACCCACUGAGAAACCCAGUUCUAAACCCGAACAUCCUAGUGCUCUCAUGGAACCCAGUUCCUCAUUCCCUUCUAGUGCUCUCAUGGAACCCAGUUUCUCAUUCCCUUCUAGUGCUUCCAUGGAACCCAGUUCCGCAUUCCCUACUAGUGCUUCCAUGGAACCCAGUACUUUCCUCCCCACUGAAAAACCCAGUUCUAACCCCGAACAACCUAGUGCUCCAAUGGAACCCAGUUCCUCCCUACCCACUGAGAAACCCAGUUCUCAACCCGAACAACCUAGUGCUCCCAUGGAACCCAGUCCCUCCCUACCCACUGAGAAACCCAGUUCUAAAGCCGAACAACCUAGUGCUCCCAUGGAAACCAGUUUCUCAUUCCCUAUUAGUGCUUCUAUGGAACCCAGUACCAUCCUCCCCACUGAAAAACCCAGUUCUAAACCAGAACAACCUAGUGCUCCCAUGGAACCCAGUUCCUCCCUACCCACUGAAAAACCCAGUUCUAAACCAGAACAACCUAGUGCUCCAAUGAAGCCCAGUUCCUCCCUAACCACUGAAAAACCCAGUUCUAAACCAGCACAACCUAGUGCUCCCAUGAAGCCCAGUUCCUCCCUACCCACUGAAAAACCCAAUUCUAAAGCCGAACAACCUCGUGCUCCCAUGGAACCCAGUUUCUCAUUCCCUACUAGUGCUCCCAUAGAACCCAGUUCCUCCCUGCCCACUGAACAACCCAGUUCUAAACCCGAACAUCCUAGUGCUCCCAUGGAGCCCAGUAUCUCAUUCCCUACUAGUGCUCCCAUGGAACCCAGUUCCUCAUUCCCUUCUAGUGCUCUCAUGGAACCCAGCUUCUCAUUCCCUUCUAGUGCUCCCAUAGAACCCAGUUCCUCCCUACCCACUGAAAAACCCAGUUCUAAACCAGAACAACCUAGUGCUCCCAUGGAACCCAGUUUCUUAUUCCCUACUAGUGCUCCCAUGGAACCCAGUUCCUCAUUCCCUACUAGUGCUACCAUGGAACCCAGUUCCUCCCUACCCACUGAGAAACCCAGUUCUAAACCCAAACAUCCUAGUGCUCCCAUGGAACCCAGUUCCUCAUUCCCUUCUAGUGCUCCCAUGGAACCCAGUUCCUCCCUACCCACUGAAAUACCCAGUUCUAAACCCGAACAACCUAGUGCUCCAAUGGAACCCAAUUCCUCAUUUCCUACUAGGGCUCCAAUGGAACCCAGUUCCUCCCUACCCACUGAGAAACCCAGUUCUUCUAUCCCCACUGAAUUCUAGCUCUGUUCCCACAGAGAAACCCAGUUCUAAAGCCAAACAUCCUAGUACUCAUUUUUAGCCAGGUUAUCCCAUACCAUCUUAGAAGUCCGGCGUUUAAAUCUGCAAAACUUGGCAUUGUAAUGAAAUCUACUUCAUCCCUCCCAUCCAAGAUGUUGAGCUCUCUUCCCUCUGAGAAACCUUUAGAAACCUGAGAAGCUAGUGAUGCUAUACAAUCCAGUUCUUCUCCCUCUCGUUAGAAGUCCAGCAUUAAACCUGUGAAAACAUUUUAAAUGUUGGUCUCUUCCCUCUAAAACUUGACCUCUUAAUGUAAUGANUAUUUUUUUAAACCCUCUGAAAAUUAGGUUUAGUUUGUAUCUGGAAUCCAGCUUUCCCUGUUCACAUGAUUGUUGAUUCUGGAAGAACAAGCCACUUGUGUUAAAGUAAAUUUGCAUUGUGACUUUCUGUUGAAGAUAGUUAUUGGCUGAUCCUUUUAUAAGUCAAAGGCCUGUCUCAAAGUGUGUUGAACACAUUUUUGUAUCAAUCCAAUUUGCUUCAGAUUGGGUUCAGUGGCCUUCUGUCUAUUCAGGGCUUGAUUUAACUCUGAGUACAUGCAUAUAAAUGUGACAUUUACAGCAAACAGUCAAUUAUGCAAGACAUGGUGAGUGCAUGGAUGACUUUACAAUGGAGAUUAUAAACCAUAUGAAUUAAAAUACAUUUAUACAGCAAGAAGAAAUGCUGAUUUUGCAAGAAAAAUGAAUUCAGUACAUACUCUUAAAUUUUUUUUACGACCAUAUGAGACAACCAAAGAGAAAUUUAUAGCACCUAGACUCCCCAUUAACAGACACUUUACAUUCCCAUUCAUGCACUAAUAGAUAUAGUUUACUACAGCAUUUUAUUAUGACUUCCAAAAUAUAAUGAAAAACAACAUAAGAUUAUGAAUUAAUCAAGAACUCUUAAAUUGACUGAAUGAAUUGUUAAAAACACAAACUUGUAACAUGACACUUGUCCAUAUAAGUUAUUUAGACUCAUUUUAUGUCUGUAAGUCUUUUUCAGAACUAAAAAUCACAAGUGGUAACAGUGACGCAAAAUCCAUCAGUGCAUGAAUUAAAACAAGAUGUUAAUGAUGAAACAAUCCCACAAUUGUUUGUUAACAGGGUGUUUGUUAGAGUGGCCAACUGAAUUGUCAAAAUGGUUUCUUCUAAACUUAUUUUAUCAUAUUUUUAUCAUUCAUGGAGUACAGAUAAAUUAACUUAAGUAUAUAAAUAUUUAAAAUGUUUUUUUUUUCUUGUAAACUUUAAGUUUUCUUCUAGAUCUGUUCUCCGAUUGAACGUGUCUCCCAUGUGUCUGAUUGGAGUGAUGCUGAGCAACUACUGCAAAAACACAAAGGUUUGGUUGCAAAUUAUAUAUCUUCAUUAGCAUAAAUACAUACAUGCUCACAUGAUUAUGAUGUUUUUAGUUACUGAGUUGUAUUAAAAUUGAAGAGAAAUUACUGUCGUUGUACUAUGUUGUCACCAAUGUAACUAACCGUUAUUAAAAUGUUCUCUAGGACGGACUGAACAUGACUAUUUUCACUUCCCUGAGAAACCUAGUUCAAGUGCUCAUGUGAAGUCAAGUUCUUCCGUUUUCCUUCCAAAAUCUACUAUAAAGGAAGACAGCUUUUUUUUUCUCCAACCCGUAAAAAAAAUAAAAAAUAUAAAAAAAAUCUUGCUCUCUUCCCU
ensembl:lncRNA